ensembl:lncRNA
AAGAAGUCAAGAAAUUGGAAAGAAGAGAUAAAGGAACUGGAUGCUAGGCUCCCGGGGGCUCUAUUAACCCUUCACUCCAUGCCACAAAAAGAUGCCCCAGAUCCUGCCCAUGUCAAUGCCAAAUGAUGACUAAAUGUCCCUGAGCUGCGCAGUCCAGGACCAUUGACAUGGUCCAUGGAUGAAAACCAUUGAAGGCCUCCAUAAUGAUCUUGUAUCUCACUUUGGAAUAGAGCUUCUAUUAUCUUGGGACCUCAGCCAAAGCUAAGUAAUUUUAAUAUCUUUGUGUGUGUCUGUGCACUUGUGCAUGUGCACACGCACACACGUCUGAUGACACACUGCAAAUUGCUAGCAGUGCUAACUCCCAAGGUGGGAAAAUGAGCAGUGAGUGGUCAAAAGGGACUUCAACUUUAUCUGUAUUGCUUCAAUUUUUAUAGUGACAAUAUAUCCAUGUAUUACUUGUGUAAUUAAAAAGAAAUGAAAUUAAAUAUACUCUAGCGUGUGCUGGAUGAGUUUCUGCAACUUAAUUUCCAUCUGCCAAUGAAAUAAAUCUGAAACCUUUUAUUUGGGUUAAUAGCCCAAUUUGAUGUGUUGCUCUGUUGGAAGAAAACCAAAUUGUGAGGCGCUUUUCGGGGUUCUGUGUUGCAGAUUGCUCUCACGGUCUCAUGGUGUUUAUUCCUUUCAGGUACGUACUUAGGGUGUAAUAUACAUUUGCCCUGGUAAUUUGACUUCCUGGCCCCUGGCCAACCUAAGGAAAUAGAUGGCAAAGCCAGCAAUUCCUGUCUUGCAAACAUGAGAAAAUACAUAGCUACCUGGUCCGUUUCCAGUUGGAGGCAAAAACCCAGGUGAAGAAUUGAUAGGAAGGAAGCAACACUGGAGGCUGGGAGACUAAUUAAGAAGCUGUCUCAGAAAUCUGCAGGAAUGAGGCUGCUCUGAGACAGAAGUCCCAGGAAAAGAGAGAGGUGAAUGGAAUUAAGAAGAUAAGAAGACAGCAUCUAUAGUAUUUGGUGACUUGUUGGAUGUUGGAGAAGUAUGUGGAAGGGCAUCUAGGCUGUUGGCUUUGGUGCCUGGGAUCCAUCCUCGAGAGAAGGACGCAUUGAUGCUGCAGGAGUAAUAUCUUAGACCACGCACACAUUGAACCAACCAGCGGGGAUCAUAUUUAUUAAGAAAGAGGAGGAGCAACACAGGAGUGAAAAUAGACGCCAGGCCAUGCUGGAAGCUGUGACAUGUGCUGCUGGCAGUGAGGAAUCUCUGAUGUUAUAAAGCUCAAAGGGGAGGAUUGGCCACAAAACACAGAAAAGCUGAGGACACACAAGUCCUGACAGUGGGAGAGAAGCCUCAGCAGAACCUCAGACUAAUUUCAAUCUCGGAAUUCAGAGGGGGUGAUAAGAGUGAGAUCCUGCAUAAGUAAUUAAGUGAAAGAUAACGGGAGACCUGUUCCAUUCCCCAUUUUCAGAGAAGCCAAUGUAGGUGUCUGCCUUAACUAGAAGCCAGGGUUAGGAUUCUCUUAACUUGGAGUGCUUACAGGAACAGAAAGGAACUUUGUUAACUGGAUAAAAGUUAUUAAUCAGCGAGCCAUGCAAAUAUGAUGUGUACUGAUGAGAUAACAGAAGCCUUCCUGCUAAUGUGAGACAUGAGGAAAGUGAGGCACAGUUGUGCCCUGCCCAAGGACACAUGAAAGGACCAGGAGGCAUCUGAAAGCAUCACUCAGACUCUCGAGUCCCACUCUGCCACCAAGCUUACUGGCCUCCCUAGGAUCAGUGGUGUAAUCCCCAGGACUGCACUCCUCGCCACGGUGCUCAUUGGCUUGCAUAAUCAAGGCUUCCUGGUCUUUUGUUGAAGGUUUCACAUGCAGAAGAAGCUUCAUGGACCCAUCCCACAGGAAGGAUUUCCAGUAGGAAGGCCGAGGUGUUACCUGGCAGCUGACUCUCAGUUAUACAUAACCCCCACCUCCGGGACCUGGUGAUCUGACAAAGGAGAAGAUAAAUUCGUGGCAUCUAUGGCUUUCAGUUUACUCAUUUAAUAUUUCCCUGGUGCCUCUAUUAGUCUUGUACCAUCUGUGGGAAGACAGGAGAUGCUGCCUAAAGCAUAUUUCUUUCUGUCCAUGCAAGUGGUGGGGUUCAGGGCAGGCUGCCCCCAAGAAGCAGCUCUGGUGUGCGGACUGUUUCAAGCUGAAGACAGUAAAGGCUCAGAAGACUCAGGAAGAGCAUCCGACCUUCCCCCACAAACCGCCUAAGACUUUAUACAUAGACGGCCUGUUCCAGGAGGGAGCUCAUACCAUCUGAUAGCUAUAGUACGAUGUAAAAUUGGUGUGAUAAAAGGACACCAACAAACCCAUUUUCUGGCCCAGCAAAGCCUGUUUAACAAACAUUUGCAUUCCAUCUCUACGUAAAUUGUCUUCCUCCUCGUUGAAGCCCCAAAUCACUAUACCCAACAUCCUCCUUGCCUGUAGCUGAACAUACUUAAACAGGUAGCCUCGGCCACAUGGCUGAGUUACUCAGUUUCUCCUGGGUUUCUCCCAUGUAUACAUGCUAUUAAACUUUGUUUGAUUUUCUCCUGC